rnacentral:tRNA from 1 species
GCCGACGUAGCUCAGCUGGUAGAGCAACGCACUCGUAAUGCGUAGGUCGGUGGUUCGAGUCCACUCGUCGGCACCA